UUAAUUCAAGAAACAGAAGCAUGGGACAUUCAAACGGAUGUCACGAUGGAUACCAAAGUGAAUUCCACAGAUGUGAAUGAAAAGAUGGAUGCUGGAAUUGACAACAAGCCAAAGUUCCACAACUCACUAACCACUGCUCCAAAGUCUCCUCUUGUACCUGACGAAUCCAUGGCAGAUCAAACCGAAUCUUUGGCCGAAGCUACGACUCAGAUCUCCACCGAGGACACUGAAUUAUCUUCAGCUGACAUCUCUGUGAACGUGUUCCAAAAUAAAACAAUAGGAGCCUCUGUUGGAACCAACUUGCAUGAUGACGCAAAACAUGGAGUGACCGGAGCAGUACCCAUCGGCACUCCCUGCUCUGUGGAGAAAGAUCAGCCAAAGCUUCUGUGUGCUCUGCUGCCAUCCUCCAAGGAGGCCGGCCCAGUCUAUGAAACCAGCAGGAGUCAAGGGCCCCUCAAAACCCCUACCGUCAACACUGAGCCAGAUGAUGGUGGCCUGUGUGCUGCAAUCCUAUUGGCCUGUCUCUUCUGUCAACCACUGGACUGUUUACUGGCCACUAUGAGAGGGUGCAAUGAGUGCGUUUGGUCGCUGUGCUCGUCCCUGUGCUGCUGCGAGCCCACCGCCCUGCAGCCUCUCCUGGACAUCGACCACCACAGUGACGUCUGCACGUGUCUGGACAUCCGUUGCUUCCAGUGCGAAUAUCCCGCCUGCGACAUCUGCCUCCAGGCCACAGAGUGCCUGGACCUCGCUAUGGAAAUCUCACAAAUGCUUUACCACUAA
rnacentral:lncRNA from 1 species